GGCUUCAUGCGGAGCUCUGGGGAUGGCGUGGCGGCCUGCAGCACCGCCAUGGCUGCCCGGCGUAGCGCACCGUCAAAGAUGGGCAGCACCUGGCUGGGGAAGGCGUUGAAGUACUCCCCGAUCUCCAUGUUGGUCUCGAACAGCGUCAGGGCGUCGACGAGGACCGGAUAGUGCGCCUCGUCGUCCCCCUGGCGCAGGAUGCCGAGGAUGUCGUCCCGGUGGUGCUGCAGCAGGUAGGACUCGAACACCUGCCCGAUGAGGCUCACCUGGUCGGCGCGCAGCGCCAUACCGAACCGUGCACUGCUACCUGCAGCACGGACCGCCGCCGCCACCGCCUCUCUG
rnacentral:lncRNA from 1 species